CGGCACUAUCUUCGGAUAGAAGCGAGUGGCGAACGGCUGAGUAACACGUGGAGAACCUGCCCCCCUCCCCCCGGGAUAGCCGCCCGAAAGGACGGGUAAUACCGGAUACCCCGGGGUGCCGCAUGGCACCCCGGCUAAAGCCCCGACGGGAGGGGAUGGCUCCGCGGCCCAUCAGGUAGACGGCGGGGUGACGGCCCACCGUGCCGACAACGGGUAGCCGGGUUGAGAGACCGACCGGCCAGAUUGGGACUGAGACACGGCCCAG
rnacentral:rRNA from 1 species